rnacentral:lncRNA from 8 species
AUGCUUUCCUACUUUCUCCCUCUAGGUUUCUGCCCCCUGGUUGAGGUCCUAGUGUCUGCAGUGUUUGGAAAGAUCUCGUUGGCUGCUGAAGUGUUGCUGUGCUGGUGGAGUGUGAAGCUCUCCUGUUGUACACCGGCAAGCCCUCUUGCACUCCUGUUUGGUCAGCAAGGAAGUGGGACGUCUCGUUGGAACUGGGGAGAACCAGGCCAAGUCAAUUCAACCCUGUGACUGUUUUGAUGUAUAAAUAAAUCUACAAAUUAAUGCUUGUCCUAUUUUUCUUUCUUGGUGGUAGUAAAUCAGACUUGGUGAAUUUGGCCAUUUUGAAUGAACCAUGUGAUGUUCUGAAUUCCAUACUGAACAAUGUAACAUUUCCUGUCAUCUCAUAUUAUAUAGUUCUAGGUUUUAAACAUGCACAUUUUACGGUGACUGACGUUUCUCACUGGCUAUAGAAAGUUGACAUAUUAAUAUUUUAAUCAAUUGAUUUGUUUUUGAAAGGAUGUUAGCGUUUAGCAUGUCUAGUCAUGUAGUAGGCUUGACCACUAUGGGCUAGUUUGUAGUAGUCUUGACCACUAUGGGCUAGUUUGUAGUAGGCUUGACCACUAUGGGCUGUUUAGUUCUGGGCUUGGUCUGCGUUACACCAUGUGGCGCCGAUUUUAUAUUUUAAUUUUUUUCUUCAGAUCUAGCGUAAAUUGGCUUUUAGGAGAUAUUUUAGCAAUAAGGCCGGAGGGUGCGUGGUGUAUAUGGCCAAUAAUUCACGGCUAAGGGCUGUUCUUAUGCACGACGCAGCAGUGCCUGGACACAGCCCAUAGCUGUGGUAUAUUGGCGAUAUACAACAAACCCCCAAGCUGCCUUACUGCUGUUAUAAACUGGGGUGGCAGGUAGCCUAGUGGUUAGAGCAGGUAGCCUAGUGGUUAGAGCAGGUAGCCUAGUGGUUAGAGUGGGUAGCCUAGUGGUUAAAGCGGGUAGCCUAGUGGUUAAAGCAGGUAGCCUAGUGGUUAGAGCAGGUAGCCCUAGUGGUUAGAGCAGGUAGCCCUAGUGGUUAGAGCAGGUAGCCUAGUGGUUAGAGCAGGUAGCCCUAGUGGUUAGAGCAGGUAGCCCUAGUGGUUAGAGCAGGUAGCCCUAGUGGUUAGAGCAGGGUAGCCUAGUGGUUAGAGCAGGUAGCCUAGUGGUUAGAGCAGGUAGCCCUAGUGGUUAGAGCAGGUAGCCCUAGUGGUUAGAGCAGGUAGCCCUAGUGGUUAGAGCAGGUAGCCCUAGUGGUUAGAGCAGGGUAGCCCUAGUGGUUAGAGCAGGGUAGCCCUAGUGGUUAGAGCAGGUAGCCCUAGUGAUUAGUGCGUUGGUCCAGUAACCGGAAGGUUGCUGGAUCGAAUACCCCGAGCUGACAAUGUAAAAAUCUGUCCUUCUACCCCUGAACAAGGCAGUUAACCCACUGUUCCCCGGUAGGCCGUCAUUGUAAAUAGGGAUUUGUUCUUAACUGACUUUUGUAGUUAAAUAAAAAAUAGUUGACACCUGAUUCUUUAUGCAGAUAUUUACGUUUUUGGAAAACAUGAACACACUGAGGUAGAUUUUACCAAACUUUGCAUCUUUGCAGUUCUUCCAGUAAAUGUGUGUUUGUAAAAUGUUCAGUGUAAAUUUUUAAAAGUAGUUAUUGUGCAUAGAGUUGUAAGACUUUUAAAACUUUGAAAUCAACGAUUUUUGUUUUGGCAUACAUUUUGAGUGGAAAAUCUGAGUCAGUGCAAUUCCGUUACUAUGGAAUUUCAACAAAGUAAUUGUAAUUUUUUAUCCUUCAACCCUACAAUGAUUUUGAGGGGACUUUAUCAUGAAUAAUUGGGAUGGAGGGACAAUGAAAUACCAUACAGGAGAAUUGAGAUGGAGGGACAAUGAAAUACCAUACAGGUUAAUUGAGAUGGAGGGACAAUGAAAUACCAUACAGGAGAAUUGGGAUGGAGGGACAAUGAAAUACCAUACAGGUUAAUUGAGAUGGAGGGACAAUGAAAUACCAUACAGGAGAAUUGGGAUGGAGGGACAAUGAAAUACCAUACAGGUUAAUUGAGAUGGAGGGACAAUGAAAUACCAUACAGGAGAAUUGGGAUGGAGGGACAAUGAAAUACCAUACAGGAGAAUUGAGAUGGAGAUACAA